ensembl:lncRNA
CUCCAUGUACAUCACAGGUGCCUGCCCUUUCUCUCGCAAAAGCAGAGCCGGUGUGGUUUUAAUGCGGUGCCAUCAGGUGGCACUCCAGGUUCACUUUGCAUUUUCUCUCCCUCAGCUGCUGUCUCCAGAGGGCACCGGCAGUGAACAAAAGAAUCACGUUCUGCUUUUACUCCAUUUCAGGGAGAAAACGCGAUUAGUAAAUAAAAAAAUAGAUAACUAUUUACAGGCCCAAUUUCAAGCUACCCCCCCUCCAAAGUUACAAGCAGUAACCAGCAAAGUUGUCACCGCAUUGUUUCUUCAAUCUGAGACCAUAAUGAUGUGAUAGCACACUGUAAUGAUAAACUAAGAGUGUACAAAGCAGGGCAUGGCUGUCUUGUGAGAGGCGCUCUCUGGCUGCCUUGUAGUUCAGCAGCUUUUUGAGGAGGUUUUUGUAGCACAAACUUGGUUGUGUUGAUCUGCACUGUUUGCUCUCGUUGUAAUUUGUGUGGUGACAACGUGCAGUCCCAGUGUCUGUUCUGGUAGAAAUGGCAUUCUCUGCUACUUCGAUGUGUUAGAUGCAAAAAUAUCAGGGCUUAUCUAGAUUAAAUCCUUUUAUUAACUUUGUGUUACCUGAACAAUAAGAAGGAGAGAAAAUCUGUGUCAGUGUUAAAGUAAAACUUUGGUACAAGAUGUGCUGUUUUGAGGGAAUUCUGGCUGCAGCUCUGCUUCAGGUGUGCACAAACCUGAAAUGAGUGCUGUAAUGAGGUAAAGGCUGACACAACAAAUCCCAGAACUCAGAGUUUUAAUAUCUUCUAAAUGAAAUAGAGAGGCAAUAGUGGGUUGUCACAGAGUUCUGUUUUUGAGGACAGCAGGACCUUUCUGCAGCACCAGCAGGUCUGGCAGCAGGAAGGGCCCUGCAGAUGUUGCAGUUGGCCAUGGAGAUGGCGGUGCAGGGCGGCUGUGUCACACUGCAGUAGAAAAGGCUCAAACCGAACCCGCUGACCCCUCCUCUCUCAGAGAUCUGUGUGCAUUGCAUCCCUGGUUCAGAUCUCUGUGAGGCCUGCCUUUAUCUGAAAUAUUUCUUCACUUUCAAGAGUGAGGCAUUUCAACAAAGCCCUGCUUCUUCAGUUCCCUCUCCUGUUCUUCCCUCUCUAUUCAGAGCCGGUGACAGCAGAGAUGUUUCCACGACAACAAUACGUUCUGUUGCCUCAGGUGACAAACCAUAACUUCAAUAAGUAAUCACUGAGAAUAGCUUCAAACAAUUAAUUAGGUAAUGGAAAUGUUAUUCUAAUAGGGCUUGGAUGCUCUGAAAGUCUGCUUGAACAGAUGGAAUUCUGAUCAAGAAUCUGUGUGGAAUCAAAGCUCAAACUGCCAGCCCGAGGUCAGGGUGGGUAUCACUGGCUGAAUUAUCUAAUAAUAAUCCAAAUUCAAGUACUUAGUCAAAAUCCAGAUUAUUUCUUGGUGCUGUGUGGAGCAAUUUCAGUUCAUUCUGGUGCUAAAUAUUGUUCAAAGCCCAUAUUGGCAAAAAAUAUAUUUAAGGAAUUGGCAAACUUUUUCACAGUCACCACAUCCAGUUACUGCCCGAGCAGUGCUUGUAUGCCUGCACUGCACGAGAGACUGAUGGUGAUCCCAGCAAAUGGUUUUGCAAUAAGCGGAUUUUUCAGUCUUCCCUUUGCAGAAGAUGCUUUCCUGGAGUUGUAAAUGGAUGAUUCAUAAAUCUCUCCUAAUGCAGCUUCUAGAAGCGGUUCAACCGAUCUUUAAUCGUUGUUUCAAAACUGGGUCUCCAUGGGAAUCUUUCAAUCCUAUAUCCUGAAGUUUCUUUAGCCUGGGGCAGCCCAUCUGUCUUGCAGCUUAGAGCACAAAUGAAUACACUGAGUCCAUGCAUGUACUGUGCCUUAUAUCACAGGUCUCAUCCAGCACUGGUCCUCUUUGGGACUGGUAGCUAUCCUGGCAGAAUUUCUUUUUUUGCUUUAAUUUUGCCUUAUUACAUUCAGUUUCUCCAGCAUAGUGCAUCCAUGAGGCAAGUGUAGAAAAGAGAAGAGUUGCCACCUUUCUCAGCCCCGUGGAAAGCUGUGAAUGCCCGCCCUGCAAUGUCUGAUGUUGUCUGACUUGCUUCCAGGGCUGGCUAUGGAGUACAGCUAUGGAACAAUACCUACUUUUCUGUGCAAAGUAACUACAGUUCAUAGAGGAGGGAAACUGAGAAAUGAGGGAAAGGUCUCAAGGCUGCACAAAGCAGGGAGAAGACGCGCUGCACCAUGUCAUGAAGGAAACUGGGACGCACAUCUCUUAAGGGCAUGACGUACCAUAACUUGGGCUACAGUCCAAGGUGGGAAGUGAAAGCACAUCUCCAGCAGCACUGUCUGUGCAUGCGCUGCUCAUCAUGCUGAGCCAGUAAGUCACU